CGAAAGUAGAAAGGUUUUAUUUGUAAGGCCAAUGAUUGUGCCUUUCUUUUGGCAACAAGGGUGGCGCGACUAAAAAUUCAAAUAUCUACCUGAGAAGAUAGGCUUAUGGUAUCAAUUAAAUUCCACCAUUCUUCUCAAGCAUUAUGUCUUCAAAAUAUUUUUCUUAUUAUACAUGUAAUAAAAUGUAAACGUAACAAACAUUUUUUCCACUUUAUAACAGCAGGGAAAAAUUCAUCGACAUCAUAUUAAUAUUAAUAUAAUAUAGCCGUCGCACGACUUCGUGUUUACCAUGUAUCGUUACCGUUCGCGCUCGCACGUAUCAAUCACGUGCUCGACGUGUUGUCGUACCAUUAUUGGUAUUUGCGCAGCCCUUUUUUUGGGAAUCGUCGUGCCGAAGUUAGAAUUCGGCGUUCUCAUAUCGCGGUUGAUACUCGGCUAGGAAACAGUCUUGAUUUCGCGGUGCGCUAAGUAAUAUUAUAAUUGAUACCCGCUCGAUAUCAAAAUGCACGUGAGCAGUUUUUAAUCGUGGAUUUUCUAUUGUGCGAGUACGAUGCAUUCGGUGCGUGCGCUCUCAAUAGUGUAUGAAAUCGCGACGGUGACUGCUAAUUUUUCUUUCAAACGCUUGUCUAGUUCUUGAACGUAUCGUUAUCAUGCUGAAAGCUUGAUCUCCAUCCGUGCGAAUCGUGGCUACGGUACCAUUAAAAUUUCGUCGCGUGUUUUGAACAUUUAUUUUUAUAAUUUUUUGACUUUAUUAAAAUAUACUUUGUGGACAUUGCGCACUUCUCUGGAGUUCUGAUUUAAGAGUCUUGACCGCUUCACCAUCAAGUCUGCUGACAAGUUUGCUUGACGUGCCUUGCCUUGCUUGAUGUGCUUUGCCUUGCUUGAUAGAAGUUUGAUCAUGUUACAACACUGGCAAGACUUGCACCAGAUGAAUUAGGAGUGUAAAGAUUUGCAAUCCAAGCAUUCACACGCGAUACCUGCUUGGGGACACUUCGUCAAGAACGCUC